rnacentral:rRNA from 1 species
GACGAACGCUGGCGGCGUGCUUAACACAUGCAAGUCGAGCGGAAAGGCCCCUUUGGGGGUACUCGAGCGGCGAACGGGUGAGUAUCACGUGAGUAAUCUGCCCUUCACUUCGGGAUAGCUUCGGGAAACCGAAAUUAAUACCGGAUAUGACCACGCCACGCAUCUGGUGGUGGUGGAAAGAUUUUUUGGUGAGGGUUGGACUCGCGGCCUAUCAGCUUGUUGGUGGGGUAGUGGCCUACCAAGGCUUUGACGGGUAGCCGGCCUGAGAGGGUGACCGGCCACACUGGGACUGAGACACGGCCCAGACUCCUACGGGAGGCAGCAGUGGGGAAUAUUGCACAAUGGGCGCAAGCCUGAUGCAGCGACGCCGCGUGGGGGAUGAAGGCCUUCGGGUUGUAAACUCCUUUCGCCAUUGACGAAGCCCUUUGGGGUGACGGUAGGUGGAGAAGAAGCACCGGCUAACUACGUGCCAGCAGCGCCGUAAUAC